UAGUGUGGUUCAAUUAGACCUUCGAUUUGCCUCAUUUUUGGGGUGAUUCUCUAUAUAAAAAAAAUUCAAAAUGAAUGGAUGGAGUGGAUAUACUAAAUACAUCAUGACGGACCCCACAAAUCCCUUGAGAUGACUGUCCAUCCCUAACUCGUUAGAAGCCAUGCGAAUGGCAAGGUGAUGUGAAUAAUAGUAUAAAGGCUACGGUCCAAAGGGGUUUUAGCUACGGUUUAAAGCCGUAGAAAUAAAAAUGCGGAAACAACUCACCUCGCACGUUCCUUUUUCUUCUUCCGCCUCCCGUGAAAAAAACAAAAAACUCAAAAAUUUCACCUCCCUCCCACUCUCGUGAGAAAAAAAGCCCAAACCCUCCUUUCCCUAAACAUCUCCUCUCUCUCUAUCUCCCCAACCCUCUCUCACGAAUACUCCUCUCUCACGAACCCUCUCUCAUGAAUACUUCCCUCUCAUAAACCCCUCUUCUCUCCCUAACCAUCCCCUCUCUCUCAAUCUCAUGAAGACUCCCCUCUCUCACGCCAUAAUCCACAUCCCUGCUGCUCGAUCGUGUCUCAUUUUGUUCCUUUUUAGAAUCCUCAGAUGAUGCCUCUCAAGUAAACGAUGAUGAAAAUGCACUUAUGGGUUUCUUUGAUGACUCCAAAGAGUAUGUGUAAAAUUGUAGAGGAAUCCAUUCAUUGAUCUGCCGAGAACAUAGCACUAGCCAUUGGUGCACUGUGUAUG